AUUGAACGCUGGCGGCAGGCUUAACACAUGCAAGUCGAGCGAGCGGCGGACGGGUGAGUAAUGUCUGGGAAACUGCCUGAUGGAGGGGGAUAACUACUGGAAACGGUAGCUAAUACCGCAUACCAUCAGAUGUGCCCAUAGGGGAUUAGCUAGUAGGUGGGGUAAUGGCUCACCUAGGCGACGAUCCCUCGCGGGUCUGAGAGGAGGACCAGCCACACGGGAACUGAGACACGGCCCAGACUCCUACGGGAGGCAGCAGUGGGGAAUAUUGCACAAUGGGCGCAAUCCGGAUGCAGCCAUGCCGCGUGGGUGAAGAAGGCCUUCGGGUUGGAAAGCACUUUCAGCUAGGAGGCGUUACUCGCAGAAGAAGCACCGGCUAACUCCGUGCCAGCAGCCGCGGUAAUAC
rnacentral:rRNA from 1 species